rfam:Hordeum vulgare subsp. vulgare, WGS project CAJW01000000 data, contig: morex_contig_83544
CAUAUACUACCUCCGUCUCGAAAUACUUGUCCUGGAAAUGAAUAAAAUGGAUGUAACUAUAACUAAAAUAAGUCUAGAUACAUUCAUUUCUAGGACAAGUAUUUCCGGACGGAGGGAGUAUGUG